CAAAACCAUUGCACUCAAUGCAAUGACAAAAAAUGUUAUUAUGAACAUUGGUAGAGUUCAUGUAGCUUGGCAAAAUGGAGACUUUCAAAUUGGAGGGGAUCAAGUGACCCCUACAAAUGUUUACGGGACUGAUGCUGAUCUAUAGAUUCUAAAUCUCAUUCCAGAUCAAGAAGCCUUAGGUUAUUUGGGUGGAGGAAUUUAUUUUGAUGCCUUACUGUGACACGGGCAACCUCAAAAGAUGAAAAUAUUUCUUAAAUUUUGUCAAACAUAAAUUUGGAGCAUCUUCUUCAUUGGUUUUGGAAGUAAUCCGCAUGUGAUAGUGAUGAUAUAUAUUGAAGAUGGAUACACAUAUAUGUGUAUAAAUGUAAACCACAUAGAAACAAAUCAAAUGUUUAUAAAAUAUAUUAUAUAUUAUGGAGAAUAAGUGUUUACAACUUUCUUGGUUGCACAGCUCUUCAAUUUAUACACCUCUUAAGAAGCAUCUAGACCCUUUACCACCGUUCACCACUAAGGAAGGUUCUACAGGGGUUUAUUAUAGUUAUAUACCAAAGAAAUUUUAUAAUUAUAUUAAGAGAAAAUCUAAACUUUUUCACACGCAUCCCAUAAAUACUAGAAUACACUUGCAAAUUCUAGGAUGCUCUAAAUUAUUUUAGAGAUGUUUAGAAAAUUCAAAUAAAUAAAUAAAUAAUUACUUCAUAAAAUAAAUUGUGCAAUAUACUAUGCGUAGCGUAAUAUUAAGUUAUUUACAUUGCUGCUUGGUAGUCAAUAAUGUGUCUUUGAAACGACCAUAAUCAAUUCCCAAUUAUAUAGAUUUAUGAGUUGCUACCAAUCACCAAUUAUUGCAAAUUUCGUGAUACUGCUCGACUUCGAACUAUAUGAUUACGUCAACUUCUCGGUCCAAAGAUAAAUAAUGAAUGAAUGCAUUUUUGAUGAAUCAUUCCGUAAAGGAUCCUUUACAGAUAAGGAUUCAACAUAUUAGUGGUCCAUCUCACCAACACCCUACUCCCAACAACCAUAGAGAUGAUAUUUAUUUUUUGUCAAGUACACUAUAGGUGCUAAUAAGAAACAUUUUAUAAAAUCACCUCAGACCCCAAAUGAUUUUGCUUAAAUUUCCAAAUGUUCUUGUCUUAAACCAAAAAUUAAAAUGGAAAUAUUUUCUUAUAUUGCAUCUACGAGGCUUACUUUUGACAUAUAUUCAACACUUUGUGUGUCUAAUGUAACAAAAGGAAAUGAAUUACCUUAUGCACAUAAUGCAACACCACUAGGAUAUAAGGGUAACCCUAAAUUUUGUUGCCUAAGAUGAUUCAUUAGCAUAGUAGAUAACAUAGUAGAUCGAAUUUUAUUAUGGUUCAUAUAACAUCCGAGCCCAUAACUGAAUGCAUACCGGACCAAACAACCCAACACAUCUAGUUACUUGAUUUAUGAACUAAGUCUAUUUAUAAUGUACUUAACUACUAUACUAAUGAAUUAAUUAGUUUAAGUUAAUCAUGUAGAGAGACAUGAUGAUGUUGUGGUAUUUAUAAUGGGACCAAUUUUACAGUUUCAUCUUUGAGUCAACAAAAUUUAGCGUAACAUUUUUAUCCUAGUGGUGCAUGUCGCAUUAUGUGCAUAAUGUAAUUUGUUUCCCUUUGUUGCAUUGACAUACAAAUUGUUGCAUUAUAUGUCAAAAGUAAGCCUCGUAUAUGCAAUAUUACAAAAGAAUAGUCUUUUUUACUUAUUGGUCUAAGACAAGAGCAUCUGGGAAUUCAAGUAAUAUUAUUUGGAGUCUGAGGUGAAUUUAAAAAAAUAUUUCUUGUUAGCACUUAUAGUGUACUUGACCAUAAUGAAUAUCAUUCGCCUUUUGACCGAGAACUUGACGUAAUCGUAUAGUUCAAAGUCGAGUAGUACCACGAAAUUUGCAAUAAUUAGUGAAAUGGAAGCAACUCGCUAAGCUAUAAUAGGAAAUUGAUCAUGACUUGUUAUUGUUUCAAAGAUAAGUUACUGACUACAAAGCGUCAACGUGGGCAUCCUAAUAUUAGGCUAGGGAUAGUAUAUUGCACUAUUUAAUUUAUGUCAUUUUUUUGCUGAAUUUUCUGAACUACUCUAGUAUAAUAGUAUAAUUUAGAGCAUCCUAGAAUGUUCUUGUGUAUUGUGGUAUUUAUGGGAUGCGUGUGAAAAGGUUUAGCAUUUUGUCGUAAUAUAAUUGUAAAUAUCUUAGAUAUAUACCUAUAGUUAACCCCUCCAGAACCUUCCUUAGUGGUGAACAGUCGUCAAGAAUCUAGAUGCUUCUUAAGAGGUGUGUAAAUUGAAGAGCUCCCAGCAACCAAUAGUUGUAAACGCAUACACAUACACUUGUUCAUAUGCACAGAAUUUAUCUUAUUUGUAUAUCCUAAGGUACUCGGACUCGGGUACGGAGUGUCCGAUACGACACACAUCUGAGUGUCGGAUUCGCUAAUCUCGAAAAUUUAGGUCACAGGCACACCGUCCAAAUUUUAGACACCGGUACGGGGACACGGCAAAUUUGAAAUAAAUAAUAUAUUUUUAUAUGUAAAGAUUAAAUAAAAAUAUAUUGUUAUUCAUUAUUAUUAUAUUUAAUGUAAUUAUGAAAAAAUAUUAUUAAUAUAACUGAUUUUUAAGAUAUUUAAAAUAAAUAAUUUAUUUAGAAAAUAAUUUUUUAAUUUUAAAUCAUAUUCAUCCUCAUGUACUUCAAUAUCAUAUUGACUAUAGAACGACAAUACUGGAAAGUGAUCCCCAAAUUGUGUUGGUUAUACACAUUUUAAUACUUUCAAAAAAAAUAAUACAUGAAUUUAAAAGGUAAUGUAUUUUGUGAGUUGAUGCCAGCUGGAUCUUUAUAUUUGAAAUGAACCUGGACUAAAUCAAGUCUAGAUACGUUAUGUUAUUUUGUGGAGCUCAUCUAUACACACGCAUAUACUCCAUAUACAUCGUCUUCUUCAUCUGCUUUUCCUAUUCAUCUCUUUCAGUCUUCUUUCUUCUUCUUGUUUUCGAUCUUUAACCUCGUCUAAUCUCUUCUCAAUACAUGACUUAUCUCUGGCGAGCUGUGAUUUAGAUGCUCCGACGACCUUCGACUUUUCUGGCGACGGAAAAGAAGUGUCGAGAUUUUCAUCGACGAAUCCGUCCCGUAUCCCGUGUCGUGUCCCGUGUCGUGUCGUGUCGACACAUGUACGAUCGCCGGAGUAGGCGAGUCGGAGUAACACAGUGUAUAUCAAUGCUCAAUAUCAUAGGUGGAUUACUUUCACAAACAAUGAAGAAAAUGCUUCAAAUUUACAACACCUCCCGAGUCACUAAUUUGUCCUGAAGGUAUCCUUCACGAUUCUCUUGAUCUUCUCCUAAGAUUAAUUUCUGGUAAUUUUAUUUGACAAGGCUUCCCAUGCUUUAUACAAUAGUCCAUGUGAUUCACGCGAUCUAAUUAGUCUAAUACUUUUAGUACGACGUUGAUGCACAGUGUGUUAGUUUUGACCAUAAUUACUUCCCAACCUUGUACUUCUCUCAAAAAGCGUUCCUUUAAUAGGUUUAAAAUUAUGAAGAGGGCAAUGCCAUUGGAUGAUCAGAUGAACAUAUCUUCUGAUGAGUCAUUAUCUUCUGAACCAGACAUUGCAGAGUUGGCUGGCAAGCUUGUUCAGGACAUACCAAUUGAUCAACCAACUGACAUUGUUAUGACAACUGAUCUGGACGGCUUUCCCCUUUAGAAAAGAUCAUAUAUAAAUGGUGUAAAGUCAACGGAUUUGAGAUCACAAUGACCUCUUCAUAUACGGUCUUGGGUUGAUUUUCAAGUAAGUUUUUACCUUUGUAAAGUUGUAAAAUCACAUCAAAAAAGGAGAUCUUUGUCAAGUUAGUUUUAAUAUAUCUAAAUAUUAAUGUCAGUAUUUUACAAUUUGGAGGUUAAAUAUUAGUAUCAUAUUUUGAUAUCAUAUAUUUUUCCAUAAAGAGUAUGAUUAAUGAUUUUGUUUAUUUUCCUGACAAAAAAUAUAAAAUCCUUUUUUAAUGUUAUUUGUUCUAACAAGAAAAGAUUAAUAUGAAUUAUGAAUAUUUUAGUAUUUGAUUGAUAUAAAAAGUAAGACAAAAUCAUACCAGAAAGAUUAGUACAACAUUGCAUACAAUUUAGUUCCACGUCACUAACUAUAUUAUUUAUAUUGAAAGAAUUAGGAAAUAUUGCCAUUUAAACUGUAUUAAAUUGCAACAUUAAAUUAUCUUUCUUUCCUCAUGAUUAUAAGCUAGUAAAAUACAUUUGGUUCUUCCUAUUUUUAGAACUUAAUUAUAUCACAUUUUAAAUUACUAAAUCUUCCAUCUUCUUUGCAGAAACAUAGAAAGAAAGAAAAGCACUCUGUUAAUCUGCCUAGAAUUGCUAGUCCAGUAAUGUCAACUGUGCUGCCUGCAGCACCACUGAACAUUUUCCCACAAGAAUUAUGUUGCAAAUAUGAGGGGACAAUUUAAAGUGGUUCCUGGGAGAUUUGGUCUUGGGGCAAUGGAAGUCCCCCGGCCCCCAGAGGUACUGGAAAGCGGUCACUUGAGCAGUGGUCUGCAGACUCUAUAUCAUGAACCAGCUGGUGCAACCGAGGCGUGAUACCAUCAAGCAGUCUCCUGAGUAGUGGGUGGCAGACUCUGAACUGUCACCCGAACAAUGGCCUGCAGGCCCUGAACCAAGAAAAUGCUGGUGAUACUGCGAUAGCGAUGUUGAUCUGGGAAAUCCAGUUAACAUGGACAGUCACAGCUUUGAAGAAGGCACUAGUGCAAAUCAAGUGCUGGACGAUCUGCCUAGUGAGGAGGAAGUUAGUAAUAUGAUACAGGAUCUUGAAGCCUAUGAUUUAUUUGAUUUGAUAAAUUAAAACCAAACAAAGGUAUUCUCUUUCAGUUUUUUAGCAACUAUUCAGAAGUUUAACAUAAAACAAUUGAAAUCAAUCAAUACUAAAUGCUUUUGUAUGUUCAUGAGAUCUCUGUUUUCUGAGAACACUAUCUUAUGUUUAGUAUUAAUGGCUCAUUAAUGGUUGUAUUACUUCAUGUUUAGUGUGUUUUUUGUAUAAUUUUGGCUCGAUUGUUUUUAAUACUCGUUUCCUGUAGUUAAAUCUAUAUUCAGUAAACUAUUAAUAUAGAAUGUAUUAAUAAAUUGUUAACUAUAAAAAAAAUUUACCUCUGCAAUUAUAAUGUAUUAUGUAUAACUGAAUCCACUGUUUUCCAAGCAAGUAAAACUGUAUACUAGCAGUAUACAGCUUUGGCCCUUUGUCUGGGUAUAUGUGAGUACUUGUUUAACAGAAGCUAGCAAUUAAAUGUUUAGCUAUAAAAAUUAUGAAAUCCAGUUAUUAAUAAGUAUUAAAUAUUAUCUGUCUUGCAGGAGGAAUAUAGCGUAAGUUCGUUCUUUAAAGGCUUACUUGACUUGUCUGGCUGGCCCCAAAUGCUCAAGUUAAAUGAUUGACCUCAAUCUGGGUUUUGUGGAUCAUCUCCCAAGUCAUAAUGUGGAGUUCUUACACACAUCCACAGAGCGGCUACUUGAACCUUGCUGUCAAGUUACCCGAGGGCCAUCUGAAGCCAGACAAAGGGCCAAAGCUGUAUACUGCUUAUGGCUUUUCCCAGCAACUCGGACGUGGUGACUGUCUCAAAACUCAGCUAUUAUAAUUCAGAUGCGGUAUGAUCUAGUUUGUAAAUAGAGUGAAUAACUUUCACAAACAAUGAAGAAUAUGCUCCAAAUUUACAACCUCUCCCAAGUUAAGUUGUUUUUAAUUGUGCAAACAAUUUUGUUACCUAUGCAAUGUAUAUAUCAAUGUAUGUCAUAGAAUCACCUCCACUGUUUAUCAAUUAUCGUACUUCAUAAAUAUGACUUAGUCAUGUAGUUUAGAAAUCUUAGUAUUUUUGUCCAUAUCUUUUAAUAAUUUGUAAAGUUUGGUAUAUUCAUUAUGUUCGAAACAGUCUAAACAUUGGCCAAUUGUUGCUUUGAAAAUAAAUAUACUUUUCAAACAAAACGGACAUGUGAUACCAUGACAUACCUUUAGUGUGACCAAUUAUAUUAAAGCUUAAAAUGAGACUUGUUAGACAUGAUAAAUGGUACCACCGACAAAACAUAUAUGGUUAAACUAUUUUCUCAUUGUAUCCUUAAACUAUUUUUUAUUGUAUCCCAAAAUUUUGUAACAUGUGUAGCUAUAAUUUAGUUUGAGAUGAAUUGUUUUUUAAAAAAUUUUUACACACAAGUUCGUGGUUGACUUGUCAUUCUUAUACAUUUUUAUUUUGCAAAAAUAUAAAAUAUGUAACACCGAUUAUGAAUAGUUUGUAAAAACCAAGAAGCUCGUAUUUAAGCCUAACAAGAUUAUGGACUAGAAAGAUUCAUAAAGUGAAGAACCUUUAAUGACUGAUGAUUAGAGAACUAUUUAUUAUUAGAUAAUAUGUGAGAACUAUUUAUCAAAUAAUAUGUGAACACAUAGGUUGUUAACAUUUGGGAUAGAGGUUUGGCACGUAUUUUAAAUCUUUUAUUUAAUAUAGUUUGAAAAAUUAUUAUAAUUUUUUUCCUUCUACAUGAAAACUUAAUGUUCAAUUUCUUAAUCAGAAAAAAAAAUGUCAAAAAUAAGUUAUUGAACUACGUCUUAAAUACCUGUUAAGCAAUGAAAAAAAUUGUUAAAAAAAUGGAAGGAACGGAGAGAGUACGGAAGAAUGUUGAACUACAAUGUGCUAAGGAGUUUGAAACUUUAUAAAUUAAAUUAAAAUAAUGUACAUACAAGCACUCAACCUCGAUGUGGGCAUGGUGUACUGAAACAGGCUGAAAUAUGGCAGAAAGUCCCUGAAUUAAUCUAGCUUAAAAGCUGAAUUUCCCAUGACAGAUUUGGGGCCUUUGACUUAUUUUCUCGAAUUGCAGUACAACGUCAUAGCAAAGGACUAUUUUAAGCCAAGAAAAAUAUGCUGAAGCUAUUAUUGAAAAGGCAGGAAAGGCUGCUUGUAAAUGGGUUUCCACUCCGGUCGAUACAAAAGCAAAAAUUAGUGCUAAUGAAGAGGAGCUAGCGAGGAUCCCACAUUGUAUCGUAGCCGAGCUGGUGCACUUCAGUACUUAACAUUUACACGCCCUGACAUUAGCUAUGCAGUCCAGCAGGUUUGCCUACAUAUGCAUGCCCCUCGCCAACCGCAUUUUAAUGCUCUUAAGCGCAUUAUUAGGGCCUCGUUUGGUUCCCUGAUUUUGUAGUUACACCGCAACUUUCUUAUCCUUGGAACUAGGUUACAUGGUACAUAAGUCGUGUGCAAAUUAAAAACCUGUGUUUGGUAAUGUGUGGUAAUGUACGGUUCGGGUCUGUGUAACUAAAAUUUUGAAUAUAUAAUAAAAUUUUGUUGUCAUACAAAUUAUAUAUAAAAAAUGAAGUUAUUUAUAUAAUAAAAUAAGUUAAAUAAAUAAAUAAAAUAAAUAUAGAUUUCAAAUUAAAAAUUAUGAUACUUUUAAAAAUUAAAUAAAUAUUACAAUGAAUUAAUAUCUUAAUAAUAUAUUACAAUGUGGCAAAUAAAAUAAAAUAAUAUAUUAUAAGAUUUUUAGUUUUGAGAAAAUAAAUAACAAAAAAAGGUAUUAAGAAAAACAUUCAAUAACACUGAAUUUAAAUAUAUUAUUAUUAAAUCAUGAAUAAUAAAAAAAUAUACAUAUAAUAUAAUAUGUUAUACAUAUAGAAAAUAAAUUGUGUAUAUAUAAAAUAAUUAAAAUCGGAUAUAAAAUUUAAUAUUAAGUGAUGUAUGUAUAUAUAUAAUGAUAAUAUAAAUAAAUUUUAAAUAAUAUUAUUAUAUUAGAGGUAUAAUUUAGAUUAGUGUCUUUAACUCAAAUUUUGACAGAUAAUUACAAUUUUGAUAUGCUAUAUCAUUUUAAUAUAUAAUAUUUUAUAUUAUGUGUAACUCAUAGUACCCGCCUCUCAGCUAUGUAACUAGGUUACCGUGUUUCACUGCAAGUAAAAGAUCCUAGGAAAUUUGAGUUACAUCAUAAAUUAGAAAAUCAUGCAACCAAACGCUGUAACUAAAAUAAGUUCCAUGGAACUACAAGUUACGGUGUUGGGUUCCAUCAUACCAAACGAGGCCUAGGUACAUACAUGGUUCAUUUGUAUUCAGCACCAGUGUCAAGUUUGAUAGCUUACACUGAUGCAGAUUGGGAAAAAUGUCCCGACACCCGUCGAUCUACUUCUAGGUAUUGUGUUUUUCUGGGUAUUGUUGCCAACAUCGUGGCAGAAUCUUGUUGGAUUAGAAAUCUUUUACUCGAAUUACAUUGUCCAAUUCAUAAAGCUACAGUUGUAUAUUGUGUCAAUGUCAGUGCUGUAUAUUUAUCAAGCAACCCUGUUCAACAUUAACGGACGAAACAUGUGGAGAUGGAUAUACAUUUUGUUCUUGAACGGGUUGCCUUAGGCCGUGUUCAAGUUCUUCAUGUUCCCUCUUCCUACUAGUACGCUGAUGUUUACACAAAGGGUCUUCCUCGACAUCUAUUCCUUGAUUUCCGAUCCAGUCUGAGCGUUCAUCCUCCUCCCGCUCUGACUGCGGGGUGUGUUAGAGAAUGAAACUUCCCAAAAAAUAUAUAUAUUAAUGUUUACAAAAAAAGAGAGAUUUGGGCCUAUAAAAUGAUUCUGAAUGUGAGAUAAUGCCUAAUCUGAAAAUGCACAUCGACAAAAUUAUUGAUCAAUAUUUAGAAAGAAGAAAUAAAUCUUGACUAAUUUACUAACCGAUGUGAUCACCGGGAAUAAUAGUUCUUAAAAUAAGGAGAAUGAUAUAUAAUCAUAGGGGAUGAAUGUUAAUAAAAUAAGAAAAAUGUCAUUAUUCUGCGACACUCGAUAAAUAGUGUUAGAUUUAUGGAUUCUUUUACUCUUAUUGCCUGAUUCAGACAUGCACAUCAACAAGAUGAACAUCGAUUGGAAUUCAAAACCUCGAGAAAGCAAAGAUGAAGAUCCGAUGUUGCCUAUAUCAGAUGCAGAAGAUGACCUUUUGAAACUUGGAGAAGUGAAUCAGAUGCCUCCUCCAAUAAGAUUUGAAAAUAUCAUAUCUACGUGAUCAGAUGUGAAUGUUCCGGAAACAACUGAUUUACUAACCGGCUUAGUUGUUGGGGAUGACGAUCCAGAGAAUGAUAAUGUCCUACAAGAUUCAAUAAAUAUUGGCAGGGAAUUACCAGCAUUAAGAAAAUUCUGUCAACUUAAAAAUAUCUCUGUUUUUUGUUUGCUACAUUGGUGCUAUGAUUUGUACUUAAGAAUUAUUCAUGUGAUUGUCCUUGAGAAUCGUUGAAUUAAAUUGAUCUUUUAGUUAUUACUUACACAAAAAAUAAGCGAGUUGCUGCAUAUAUCAAAGUCCCUUGAACUAGUAUACAGGAGUUGUUUGAAUGUAAUACACAUCUGGUAAUUCUAGAAUUAUUUGGCAGACUCAAAUGUUUGGUCUCAACUUAAAAACAGUAAGAAUGUACCUAUGCAAUCGAAGGCUAAUGAAUACAAUAUACCUAUGCUAUGGAAAGCUUUACCCGUUACAUAUUAUUUUUCAGACUAUUCUGUCCCUAAUAAACGAUUUUGUCAAGCUCUGCAACUUAACCACUUCUAGACAUAUGUUCUUCUGCAAAGUAUAUAUAUCUGAAGAAAGUACAGUUGUAACUUGAACCUCAUCUCUUAUUUGGGUCCGCGACGAUUAUGAAAUUUUAUUGGCUCUUCAUGAUGAGAACAAUCACCAACAUUGUCUUCUUGAUUCACCCAUUUUAAAGGAAUGCGGAUAGACAUGGAAGUAAGACCAAUGGUAAGAUGAUGAUUUAGACCUCCAACAGGUAUAUGCAUGCGGAUAAAUAUAACCAAACCAAAAUCAAUGUUACUGAUUUAGACCAAAACCUAAAGUAGUGUAUACAAGGCUCAAACAAGUGUUCAUAAAAACAAUAUUGUUUCAUAAAUUCGAUCAACCAUUUGAUACAACAGAACUACAAGCUACUAAUUAACAUCUUUGCCUUUUAGUAACAACCAGCGAUGAACAUUCAUCACUAGCCCUCAAUCGCUUUGAAGAUCCCAAAUCCCACGAAUAGCUUUCUUUCAUCACUUCUUGCAGCUUCUCUUCAUGAAUCCCAUUGUCCUCCAGUAAAGUUCCCCGAAGCUCUUCCUCAAACUUGUAGUAGUUCUCAAAAUACGACUUGUGCAUUCCUUUUAGGAGCCACAAUGCACAACUCAGGGGUCCUGUACUUCCACAUUCAUCCAUACCCUCUUCAGAUAAUGAUCUAGUGCCAUUAGGCUCUUUCGGGGCAAAAUAUUCAUACGGUUUUAUCAGCAAAAGGUUACUUCGAUCUCUUGCCCAUACAUUCAAGAACUCCACUUUUAUGAACAGGCACAACUUCAAGUCCCUUUUGGCCUUUUAUAGUAGAAUCCUCCUUGGAUAUAAUUCUUGAGCCGAAGUAAACACCGUGAGGGUCAAGAAAGCCAACCAUGAUCCUAGCAUAAUCGCGUGAUCCAUUCGUGUACACAUACAUAUCAAACAACUUACUUGCCUCUCGCAAGAAUUUCCUCCCAUAAGGCCUUAACUUUGUCAAAUACUUAACGCCCGUGGCUUUCCAUCUGCGCAAAUUUUUCUUUCGAGUGUAAUUACACAAACCAGUUAUUUCUUCGGGGGAAAGUUUGUGUAGAGGUUUGGUAUGAAGAAGAGUCUGGUCCAAGUCCAAAACCAAACAGAGCUUUUCUCGAUUUCGUAAGUUCUGCAAAUUAAUUCGUCGAAUCAAUUCAUCCCUGCCGAUCUCUGCUGCAACCUGGUGGGAAAUUUGAGCGCGCAGUGCACUAUAGACAGCAACUUGGUUACAUAAAUCUCGUAAUGUAACAUCAGGUGAGAUUUCUUGAUUUCCCAUGAUUAUAGAAGUCAUGUAGUUCAGAGAUUUUAGUAGUGACAUAGUAAUGAAUGCUGAAUAGUUUUUUGAUAUUUAUAAAUAGAUUUUGAUAUCAAUUCAUAGGAUUAGGAUUUAAUCCUACGAAACUUAGGAUGUAGGAAAAUACACUUAAAAAAGUCCAUGUACUUUCUUUUGUCGGGAAAGUCCAUGUCCAAGAAUAACUUUUCUUCAAGCCACUUUUAAGAAUUUUGACUGUGCAUAUAAAAUUAUUAUUUUUAAUUUUUUUAUGAAUAAAAGUAUUUCACUAAUAUAUUUAUUCACAACAAGAAAAUUUCAAAAUUAAUAAAUUUAGAUGUGUGGUCAAAUCUCUUAAAAAUGCGUGCAAGAAAAUCAAAAGACUAAUAUAUCCAAACAGAGGGAGUAAUUAAUAUUAAUUUUAUUUUGGUAAUUAGGUUUUUUUUAAAGGAAUUAUUUAUUAUUUAUUUUAGUAGUUAUAAAUAAAGUAUAUGAAUUUAAAAUUAAUUGAAUAAUAAAUUAUCACUACUAAUAGUAGAAAAAUAUUUACAAAUAGAUAAUAAAUUGUAAAAGCAAAAUUUUCGUGAGAAAAUAUAAUCAUUUGGUUAAUAUAAUAUAAUUAGAAUUCAAUUCAUUCAUAUUAAAAUAUUAAUAAAAUAAUGUUAAAUUUUAAAUUAUAAAUAAUAAAUUACGAACUAUAUAUUUAUCCGUACUUCCCACGAGUUAAAGGCUGAAAUAGGUUAUAGGGCUAAAUAAUAGGUCAAUUUGUCCCCUCCCGAACGAAUCAAAUAUUGAACUAUUAUUUCUUGUCAACUGAAACAAGCGAAAUUGAAUUAUGGACCAAAACAGAAUUAAUAGGAACCAAACUAAAAUGAAAUUCUCUAUAUAGAAAUUGUAUUUAUUUUUUGACGGAAUUGUAUUUUUUUUUAAUGAAAACAAAAUAAAGAAAUAGCUCAAGACUAGCAAGUGUUUGUCACUAGAUUAAAAUAUUAAAACCACAUGCUCAGCCCCCGUUUAAAAAACGCUCGCGCUCUCUCCCUUUCUCCCAUAUGUGGGUAUGAUUUAGGACUACCAAUUGGUAUUUCUUCAAUUGACCACCAUAACUUAGGGUUUUUGGUUUGAAUCAGGGGUUCCUUUUUAUUUCAAUUUUUCAACUCAAGAGUUCAAUUGCUCUGAUUAGUUUGGUUUCUCUCUUUGUUUCAGGGUUCUGAGAGAGAUUCUUGUAGUGUGUUAAAAACUCUAAGAAGAGUUAGCUUAUUGAUUCUGUUUGUGACCAUGUGCACAGGCUCCAGUGCUCUGCAACUGUUUAUCCUCUUUCUCACCCACAACCCAAGUGUAUCAAAACUACCAUAUUGGUAAUAUUUCUCUCCCUCCCUCCCUCUGUUCUUGUUAUAUGUACUGUCUACAGUAAUUUUUUUGUCUUAGAAUCAGGCAAGUGUUUGCUUUGUCCAAGGUCGUACAAAAGCUAUAAUGUUUUCUUAAAUAUGAAACACAUGUACAGCCACUAGGCUUCUUGGAGUUGGGAGGCAAUGGGUCCUCUUACAUUAUUUGUUGAUAUGAAAAGCUCUUCUUCAGGUUAACUAUCCCCCUCAUUUUUCAUUCAAGCAUUCUUUUGACAUUUUCUUAUGGUUCAAUUGUUUAUUAGAAUUAGCCAAAUGGUACCAAUGACUAUUUUGGGCUUCCAAGUGGUAACACCCAACUUUUGACUUCAUCCAUCACAUACCACUCUGUUAAUCAAACGUUAAUCAAGCUGUUAAGUAGUAAUUAAAACCAUAUUUCCCUCCAAAAUACUGUUACCAGCAAGUUAAUACAAUAUCCAAAACAACCAACAAGUCUGAAUCAAUAAUGAACUACAAGAGUUUCACAAAUUUCCCAAAAUAUGUUCUAACCAUUUAAAGCAUAAUAAGCAUAAUAAAACAGGUCAGAUUUAAGGCUGAGAUUGAGAUGGUGGACAUUGAGACGUGUUGAUUUCAGUGGACUGUGAUGUGUUGCCCUCCUUAGUCUGAUUUGAAGCUUCCUUUUUUAGAGCUGCAGUUGCUUUCCUUGCCUUGGAUUGAUCCCUAAUUCUUGGAUGUCUAACCACUAUUGGUCCAUUCCCUGCUGCCUUCUUUUCUUUUGCAGUCAAACCUCCCUUGCAAGUUCUUGAAUUGUGGCCAAGGCAGUCACACUUAGUGCAUUUCACUGUUUUUGCUCUCUUCCCUUUCUGGUUUUCUCCUUCUUCCCUUCUCCUGUUUCUGCUUGGUCUCCCAACCCCUCUCUUCAUUGCAGGUGGCAUGACAAUAGGUAGAUCAUCAUAUGCAGGCCAUUGGCUUUGGUCAGGUAUGGGGUUAAUGCUAAAACUAUAAGAAAGCUUGUAUGUCCUAACAGAGUACCAUGCACUGACAACAUUGUGAGGAUCAAUCUUGGCAUGAACCAUAGCCCUUAUGGCAUGCCUACAUGGGAUGCCACUAAUCUGUAGUGAGGUUUUAUCUACAUCAACCUUAACCUCUACUUGAGUACCCAAGUGAAAAAUUAAUACUUUCUCCAUCUGCACAUAUGUUGACAAUCAUAUUACACCCAAUGCACCAGUUAACAGUUAUGAGUAUUAUACAUAUCAAUGUAUAUUAUGCAAACCCAAAAAACCUCAUUUACAGGGGAGUCAAAAAUCGUUCACUAUCAUACAUAAACACAUAUACACAGAUAAACUCGCACAUAUACACAGAUUAACCCUAAAACAAUGAAUUAAGCCGCGAAAGAUAUAUAUGUAUCGAUUAUAUAGAGUAAUUGAAGGUGAAAUGCAUACCUUAUACUUUGAUCAGUGUUGAAUUAAGUGGCGAGUGGCUGUAUUGUUCACUAUCUCGAUCGAUCCCCUCUUUCCAUGGAACCCUAAUCCUGCGUGUGUGUUUGGUUCUGUGACAUUAAACUCUCGUACCCGACUAAUGACCCAAAUUCAUGUUUUUUUACUUUUAAUUCAUUUUAUUUUAAUUACUUUUUUAAUUAAAUCAUAAUGGAUUAACGUUUUAUUAACGUUAACUAAACAGAGUGGUAUGUGAUGGAUGAAGUCAAAAGUUGGGUGUUACCACUUGGAAGCCCAAAAUAGUCAUUGGUACCAUGUGGAAAAGCCAAUUCUACAAUGGUACCAUUAGGAAUUUCCCUUAGAAUUAUAACUUUUGCUAAAGUUUUUUGCUUUUUAGUUAGUGAAUUAUAUAGUAAAAGCUGUGAUUGGAUUCUAUUGGUUUUAUAUUAUAACAUUCAUCUCAAUUGCAUUGUUCAUUUUUUGUGUCGAUUUCUAAGGCUUGAUUACUUUUCCGGAAAAACCAAAGCCAUGUGUAUUUUUGAUAUAUUCUUGACAAAGAAGAUAUGGAGGAGAUGAAUAUUUUAUAGAAUAUGUUUAACUUGAUCAGAUUUAUGUGCUUGAUGUAUAAUGUUUUCGUAUUCAAUAUAGUAAUUUGUUUUAUCAAGUGGAAACACUCGAAUAAACAUAGGAAAGCUUAAAGGUGUUUAGUCAGGAAGAAAAAAUCAGUAGAAAGAUUGAGUUGGUGGAAAGAAAUUGGAGAAGGGCAUUUGAUGAGUCAAUUCAGUGCUUCCUCCAGCGGCAAAACAAGUGAGAACUUCUUAAACUUCAAACACGAGGAAUGACAGGGAAGGCUAUUUGCACCCGUCUAAUAAUUUUCAGGUACUAAUUUAAUGAUAACCUACACCUGUAUAGGCAUUUAUUCCUAUAUUUGUUUAUGUCUAGUUCCUGGAAAGUGAAUUACAAUACAAACUAGGGUAAACAAAAAUAUUAAUUUUGGAUAUAAUCCAACCAAUGUAACUUUAUAAACAUUUUAAUAGUGUUCAUCUUGUAUAUGUCUUCCCAUUAUGACAAUAUAGAUUCUUGUUACUGAGGAAGGUUGCAUUUUAUUCAAUUUGAUAGUUUAUUCUCCAUCUCGAUUAUCUUAUUUCCAUCUAAGUCCUACUGAAAUCUUGGGGUAUGUUCAGGACUAGUACCAGUAAAGGGAAUCUAUUGGAUUGAGCAAAAAUUAUCAAUCCAAGAAGAUAAAGUUUUCACGGGCGAAUAAUGACUCAAUUUUUGAUUUUAAAUCAUAUUCAUCCUCAUGUACUUCAAAAUCAUAUUCACUGUAGAACGACAAUACCGGAAAGUGAUCCGUUAUACCACAGCGGUAGUUCCAUAUAUCAUAAAUGAAUUAAACAAAACCAUUGCACUCAAUGCAAUGACAAAAAAUCAUAUACAUCCUCAUGUACUUCAAAAUCAUAUUCACUGUAGAACGACAAUACCGGAAAGUGAUCCGUUAUACCACAUCGGUAGUUCCAUAUAUCGUAAAUGAAUUAAACAAAACCAUUGCACUCAAUGCAAUGACAAAAAAUGUUAUUAUGAACAUUGGUAGAGUUCAUGUAGCUUGGCAAAAUGGAGACUUUCAAAUUGGAGGGGAUCAAGUGACCCCUACAAAUGUUUACGGGACUGAUGCUGAUCUAUAGAUUCUAAAUCUCAUUCCAGAUCAAGAAGCCUUAGGUUAUUUGGGUGGAGGAAUAUAUUUUGAUGCCUUGCUGUGACACGGGCAACCUCAAAAGAUAAAUAUAUUUCUUAAAUUUUGUCAAACAUAAAUUUGGAGCAUCUUCUAAUUCAUUGGUUUUGGAAGUAAUCCACAUGUGAUAGUGAUGAUAUAUAUUGAAGAUGGAUAUACAUAUAAGAUAAAUUUUGUGAAUAAAUGUAAACCACAUAGAAACAAAUCAAAUGUUUAUAUAUUAUUUUUU
rnacentral:lncRNA from 1 species